rnacentral:misc_RNA from 1 species
GAUGAAGAACGUAGCGAAAUGCGAUAAGUAAUGUGAAUUGCAGAAUUCAGUGAAUCAUCGAAUCUUUGAACGCACAUUGCGCCCCUUGGUAUUCCGGGGGGCAUGCCUCUUCCAGCGUCAUUUCACCCCUCAAGCUCUGCUUGGUUUUGGGCCGCGCCGGAACGGCGGGCCUCGAAAAUAGUGGCGACGCCAUCGUGCUCUCAGCGUAGUAAUUCUUCUCGCUGUUGGGUCCCGGUGGUCGUCCGCCAGCAACCCCCAACUUUCUUAAGUUUGACCUGGGAUGAGGUAGGGAUACCCGCUGAACUUAAGCAUAUCAAUAAGCGGAGGA